AUGCUUUCGAGGAGGAAAGGGCCACAUACAAGAUAUAAAAAGAUGACAGUAUGACUGUCAAAUGCAUCAUGCUUGCCUCUAUGAGCAACGAGUUCUAGAGGCAGCAUGAGAACAUGGAUGUUCCCUCUAUACUCCUUAAUCUUAAGGAGUUAUAUGGGGAACAAAGUCAAACUGCUCGAUAUGAGAUAUCAAAGUAGUUGUUCCAUGCCCAC
rnacentral:lncRNA from 1 species